GUAGGGAAUCUUCCACAAUGGACGAAAGUCUGAUGGAGCAACGCCGCGUGAGUGAAGAAGGUCUUCGGAUCGUAAAACUCUGUUGUUAGAGAAGAACGUGCAUGAUAGUAACUGAUCAUGUAAUGACGGUAUCUAACCAGAAAGCCACGGCUAACUACGUGCCAGCAGCCGCGGUAAUACGUAGGUGGCAAGCGUUGUCCGGAUUUAUUGGGCGUGAAGGGAACGCAGGCGGUUUUUUAAGUCUGAUGUGAAAGCCUUCGGCUUAACCGAAGAAUAGCAUUGGAAACUUGAAGACUUGAGUGCAGAAGAGGAGAGUGGAAGUCCAUGUGUAGCGGUGAAAUGCGUAGAUAUAUGGAGGAACACCAGUGGCGAAAGCGGCUCUCUGGUCUGUAACUGACGCUGAGGUUCGAAAGCGUGGGUAGCAAACAGGAUUAGAUACCCUGGUAGUCC
rnacentral:rRNA from 1 species